rnacentral:rRNA from 1 species
CAAUAGCGUAUAUUAAAGUUGUUGCAGUUAAAAAGCUCGUAGUUGGAUUUCUGGGAGGGUGCCAAUGUCCGCCGACGUGCGUGCGCAGCGGCGCCCUCUCAUCCUUCUGUUAACGUCUCUCAGCAUUUAUUUGCCGGUGGCGGGCUCAGAUAUUUUACCUUGAGAAAAUUAGAGUGUUUCAGGCAGGCUAGGCCGGAAUACAUUAGCAUGGAAUAACGCUAUAGGACUCUGGUCCUAUUGUGUUGGUCUUCGGGACCGGAGUAAUGAUUAAGAGGGACAGUUGGGGGCAUUCGUAUUUCAUUGUCAGAGGUGAAAUUCUUGGAUUUAUGAAAGACGAACUUCUGCGAAAGCAUUUGCCAAGGAUGUUUUCAUUAAUCAAGAACGAAAGUUGGGGGCUCGAAGACGAUCAGAUACCGU